CAAUUAUCAUUAUUGCCACUAAUUUUUUAUUUUAUUUUUAUUUUUAUCAUCUUCUUUCAUCAAUUGCCAUUUGCCAACACAUAGUAAAAGACUCUCCCACCCAACAACGGCACAACCUCAAGCAUUCCCUCCAUCGCAGACCACCGCCGCAGACCUUGCCAUCACCGACAAUCGUCCAUCAUUCAAAUUGCAUCGUUGUUCCUAUUUUCAUCCUCCGCCUCAGAUCCGCGUUGCUGUCUUCGUUUCUUCGUUCGUCUCAGAUCUAUGUCGCAACGGUGGAACCGGCAUCACUUUCAUCUUCAAAAGCAUAGUCAAUGGCGACAAGGAAGUUCAACGCGAAGGUUGAGGAGCUUCUUAACCAGAUGCUCGCUGCAAAAUUUCAAGAUUGAGCUCUUGUUCUCCAAGCUCCUCCUUCUCUGCAUCUCCUCCAAUUCCGGCGCUGCAUGUUCGCGAAAAGCUUUAGCAGAGAUGUGUAUCGAUGGUAAUAGUAGAGAUGCUCCCAAGAUAUGUUCUUAUUGCAACAAAUAAGAUAAUUUAUAUUUAUGGAGUAACAAAGUUUGUAUUUGGUUCUUUCCUGCAGGUGGAAAUUCCAAACUUAGAAACUUUGAAGUUCUUUCAUGUUACAUUAUUAUAAUUUUAUUAUUUACUCACCAAUCAUGCAUUUUAUUUGCUAAUGUUCAUCAUUGUUUACCUGACUCUUAUUGAAUAAUGACUUUUUAUUAAAUCAAAAUAGGUUCGUAUCCUUCCUGAGUUAUGUAGGCAAGUUCAGUAUGUUAAUUAUUUGGUUCUUUCUAGUGUCUUGCGUGAGAACUUCCACUUCAACAUAUCAGUUGGGAACGGGUCAAUCUAUGAGAGAUGGUGAGACCUUAGUUUCAGUUGAUGGAAGCUUUGAACUGGGUUUCUUCAAUCCUAAAACUGGUACAAGUCGGUAUUUGGGUGUGUGGUACAGAGAUGCAUCAAGAAACCCGACAGUAGCGUGGGUGGCCAAUAGAGAAAGACCCCUUCAAAGCACGUCCGGACUCUUGAAAUUCAGUGACAAGGGAAUUCUUUAAGUUCUCAAUGACGCAAACACUAGUGUUGUUUGGUCAUCCAACAUAUCUUCAUCCCUCCAAACUUCAAAUAACUUAACUGCACAGCUCUUGGACUCGGGAAAUCUUGUUGUGAAGUACCAACACGCUAUGUUGCACAGUUCUGGAGGAGAAAAUACUAAGAGUUCAACCAAAUGUUAAGAAGCUAUUUCACAGUGACAAGGGUCUUUUUCCUUAUGAAUUAUAGAGAGUAAACACAUGCACCUCAUACUUUGUAGAUAAAAUGCAUGAAAUGUGGAGGAAAAUUUGAUCGUCAGGAAAGGAUGAUGGAUCUUACUGUUGAGAUAGAAGGGGAGAUGGCAACUCUGUUGGAAUCUCAUUUUGAGUUUAUAGGCUUGUAAUAUUUUUUGUUGUUUAGAUUUGUAACAUGAUUUAUUACUUUUCAAGAGAAAUUUAUGUAUUAAUAUUUUGAGUUUAAUAAAAUAUCUCAUUUUGUAGUAA